AAGUUGCUGCAGAGCCGGGGAAGUGGGGGGCACAGGCCUGCGCGGGAAACAAACAGCCGCUUGUCUCCCUCCGCACAGCCACCCUGGCUCACCCGCCGAGCCCGCCGGCUUCCGCAGUGACUCCUGCGGCCGCAAAACGCGGGCUGAGCGGGCCGGAGGGAUGGUUCGCAAACUUGCGUGUGAACUUGCGGAGAAGGACCGUUGGAGAGAAGCACCGGCGUCGGCUCCUCUGAGCCAGGCCGGGGGCGGGGCUGGACUGGAUAAGAGGGGCUUCCCUUCUGACCCACAAUGGUUCUCUAAUUGGGAAGAAUGGACGACUCAAUAGUGAUCCUCCAGUUCAGGAACGUGAAUGGGCCUGGAAGUGGCUAUGCAGCCACCUGUCUUCAGCACUGUGAAAGUCUGGCCUGUCUCAUUUACCAUCAGGGGCAUGAGGCCUGUCAACCAACGGCGUGUUUUGCUGGAUGGGCUCCCAACUGUUGGCUCAUUGAAGAACUUCUGACAGACUUCGGGGUCGCUGUUCCUUCUAGGCUACUUGGCUAAGAAGUCAUCUUGGAUGAAAAUCCAUUAUAUCAUAACACUGCCCCACCCCCUCGGCAAGGGCUGGUCCUGUGACCAAUAAAUUACCACAAGCUAUCUAGGUGAUUAAAAGCUGAUAGAUGAAUAAAGACUAUUUUA